rnacentral:tRNA from 8 species
GGAGGGGUACCGAAGUGGUCAUAACGGGGCGGUCCCGAAAACCGCUGUAGCUGAAAAGCUCACGUGGGUUCGAAUCCCACCCCCUCCGCCA